GAUCAUCUUCAGGGCCUUGUGUUGUCUGCAUUUCAGCAAAAAACCAGAGAACUUUUUUGCUGAAAUGUAGACAACACAAUGCCCUGAAGAUGAUCU
rnacentral:misc_RNA from 13 species